rnacentral:rRNA from 1 species
GUUGAUGGCCAUAUCACCCUAAGCAUGCCAGACCUUGUCUGAUCUCAGAAGCUAAGGAGGGUCUGGCCUGGUUAGCAUUUGAGUAGGAGAUUUUAAGAUCGACACACAACAAUUAAUU